rnacentral:lncRNA from 1 species
AGCAGUGGUUGUGUUGGAUGCUAUAAAAGGCCCGCACUAGUUACUACUGUGGAAGGACCAUCAACAAAAGGGUUGACAAAACAAGGUAAGGCAGUGGAGAAACCUAGUACAUCAGAAGACUUCUGGACUACCAGUACGCAUGAUAUGGACAAUAGUAUUGUUCAAUCACAAGGCAGUAUAUCUUCGACAAGUCUAAAUAACCAAGCUGUAGCUCCUCAUGGCAGUUCUUCGAACAACCCACCUGAAUUUGUAAAUCAUGGU